rnacentral:rRNA from 1 species
UACAGAGGGUGCGAGCGUUAAUCGGAAUUACUGGGCGUAAAGCGUGCGUAGGUGGUUUUUUAAGCUGGAUGUGAAAGCCCCGGGCUUAACCUGGGAACUGCAUUCAGGACUGGGAAACUCGAGUCUGGGAGAGGGUGGUGGAAUUUCCGGUGUAGCGGUGAAAUGCGUAGAUAUCGGAAGGAACAUCAGUGGCGAAGGCGACCGCCUGGCCUAAGACUGACACUGAGGCACGAAAGCGUGGGGAGCAAACAGG